rnacentral:rRNA from 1 species
GAUGAACGCUGGCGGCGUGCCUAAUACAUGCAAGUCGAGCGAACCGACGAGGAGCUUGCUCCUUUGACGUUAUCGCCGGACGGGUGAGUAACACGUGGGUAACCUACCUAUAAGACUGGGAUAACUUCGGGAAACCGGAGCUACUACCGGAUAAUAUUUCGAACCGCAUGGUUCGAUAGUGGAAGAUGGCUCUGCUAUCACUUAUAGAUGGACCUGCGUCGUAUUACCUAGUUGGUAAGGUAACGGCUUACCAAGGCAACGAUGCGUAGCCGACCUGAGAGCGUGAAUCGACAGACGGUAUGUGAGACACGGCCGCGACUCUGACGGGAGGCAGCAGUAGGGAAUCUUACGCAAUGGACCAGUGCCUGACGGAGCACAGCCGCGUGAGGGAUGAAGGUCUUCUGCUCGUAAAGCGCUGUUAUUAUGAAAGUACAAACGUGCAAGUACCUGUGCACGUCUUGACGGUACCUAAUCAGAAAGCCACGGCUAACUCCGUG